GGCAGAAGAAAAAUGACUCCAUGUGGAAGCAGAGAUGUGCCCAAGAGCAACAAAAAUGGAAUUAAAGAUUAUAUUUUGGAGAACAAAGUAACAAUCUCUGUGGAACAUUUGCCUUAAAAUAUGUGUUUAUUAAACACCAACCUGAACAGGAUUAUCCAUUUCCAUAUAAGUCUUUACAUUUAAAAGAGGGUGGACUCCCCAUUCUUCACUCAGCAACCAGAGUUGCUGAAAGGCAGGUCUUACUGAUGCUCCGAGAGCUGAAAAUGUGAGAAGGUGAUGAAAUGGACCAGAGUACUCCUUGCCAGCGGGACACAGGGCUUUCCAAUUUUACAGAGUACAUAUUGACUUUCCCCUUGAAUAAACUGGAACACUCAUAUUUUCUCCCCCUUUCCUCCU